rnacentral:rRNA from 1 species
AGCAAAACAGCUAUGGGUCAAGUCCGAUAUCUUUAGGAGAAGUCUUAUUGUGAGGGCGAGUUAUAUAACACCAUAGGACUGGCCGUCCCAUAUGAAAAGAUUAUAUUAGAAUUGAAUGAAGCUUUGUUUAUAUAUUGAUAAUGACAGUAUAUAUAUCGUGUCUUGACUAAUUGCGUGCCAGCAGUCGCGGUAAUACGUAAGAGACUAGUGUUAUUCAUCUUAAUUAGGUUUAAAGGGUACCCAGACGGUCAAUAUAGCUUAUAAAAUGUUAGUACUUGACUAGAGUUUUAUGUAAGAGGGCAGUACUUGAGGAGGAGAGAUGAAAUUUCGUGAUACCAAAGGGACUCUGUAAAGGCGAAGGCAGCCCUCUAUGUAAAAACUGACGUUGAAGGACGAAGGCACAGAGAACAAACAGGAUUAGAUACCCAAGUAGUCUUUGCAGUAAAUGAUGAAUGCCAUAGGUCAGAUAACCAGUUAAUGUUUAUAGUCUAAUAGGGUUAGCCUAGCAAACUAAUGACAUAGACUAUCCAUUAAAAAUAUUUGGUCUAUAAAUGAAAGUGUAAGCAUUUCACCUCAAGAGUA